ACAGCUCUCUUUGCCGUAAGGCUAAGAUUAAGUGUAGUAUCUGUUCUUUUCAGUUUAAUCUCUGAAAGUAUUCUAAGGAAUACAACAUUGUUUAGCCCCGGUGGCCGAAUGGUUAAUGCGGCCACCCGGUAGUGCCUUGGCAUGAGAAACCAAGGCAUGUGAGUUUGA
rnacentral:snRNA from 1 species